rnacentral:rRNA from 1 species
AACGAACGCUGGCGGCAUGCCUAACACAUGCAAGUCGAACGAGACCUUCGGGUCUAGUGGCGCACGGGUGCGUAACGCGUGGGAACCUGCCUUUAGGUUCGGAAUAACUCAGAGAAAUUUGAGCUAAUACCGGAUGAUGUCUUCGGACCAAAGAUUUAUCGCCUUUAGAUGGGCCCGCGUUGGAUUAGCUAGUUGGUGGGGUAAAGGCCUACCAAGGCGACGAUCCAUAGCUGGUCUGAGAGGAUGAUCAGCCACACUGGGACUGAGACACGGCCCAGAUCCCUCGGGGAGGAAGCGGGGGGGAAUAUUGAAAAAGGGGGGAAGGCCGAACCAGGCAUGGCCGGGUGAUGGAGGAGGGCGUGAGGGUUGAAAAGUCUUUUUACCAGAGAUGAAAAGGACGGUAGCGGAAAAAAAAGCCCCGGCUAACCCCGGG